GAGGAAUUGUGACAGGCAACCGGGUGACUGGCACGGAGCCUGGACUCAGGGCUGGGGGAGCGGAGGAGAACCCGACUCCUCUCUGCGAAGCCCCUUCUUCAGCAAGGUCUGAAGGAGAAAGCUCCCGCAGUGUCAGUGCCAUGGGUGACCAAACUGGGUCUGUACCUGUGACGGAGGCAGAGCUGGCAAGGGGUGCUCAAAUUACCACCUCUCUUUGACAGUGGAAAAUCAGAGGGCCCUGACAUCAUGGUGAAGGAUUCGGCCAGCUGUGGACUCAGACAGCUGAAGGAGGAUGGAAACAGACAGGAAGUCCAGGCUGUGCUGUGCCCAGCCCAGAGGCCUCCGGCUUCCCUACACAGGAUUCCAGUCCCAGGGACACCGGGGAGCCACGGGAGUCCAGAAGACCUCUGGGUGCUUCCCCCUGCCCUGCAUUUCUCUGUCCUCUCUCCCAUGCCUCUGGAUAAUGGAAAUGGUUCUUAAUAAAUUCCCACUUCUCACAAGCUUUACAGUAAAGAUGAUCCUCCUGGGAGAUGAUCCUGGGACAGGCUCGGGGCUGGCUGCAGGGCAGAGGGGCCAGGCCUGCAUGUGACACUGACCCUCCCUGGUUUCCAUGGUCACUGUCCCUGAGGUGCUGUCUUCAUCCUGCCUGGAAGUCUCCAGUAGCAUAAGGAAGCACAAGGAAGACAGGGAAGUGGCAUGGGUGUGGUCCCCAGAGUCACUUGGGCAUCUCUUGACUACACAGCUGAGUUUCCUGGUGGUCUCAUGCAAAGAGUUGAGUCUUUCAAAAAUGGUGACGUUUUCUGCUUUUUAAAGCAAUUAGGGAAGCAGCCUGACACAGGUAUGAACCCCUCAGGCAGCUUGAGUUUUCAGGGGGUGCUGAGCAGUGAGCCAGAUAUUCUGGGGAUCAGAGGAGGACGGAUGACAGGGAGAGCAGCCUACGGAGAUGGAGAAGGUGGCAGAACGGGGGUCUUCCCCAAGGCAGGUCCCAGGUCUGGAUGCCAUGUUCCCAUUUUAGGCAGGGACUUGGGGGCACAAGAAGCCCAUCAGGGUGCUUCCUUGGGGUUCCCAUGGAGCCUGGGGAUGUCCAGGAAGUACCCCCCUCGGUGGCCAGCCACCCCGCGCAGUCUUUACUAUGAAGUGACUCUGCCUGCUGGUCAUCACGGCCAGGGUGGUCUUGGAGUCUGACCGGUCCUCUAGGUUGUCCUUCACCUGAGAGCAGCACCAAGGGAAGCUGGAAAGAGCUGAGAUGGGG
ensembl:lncRNA